GCAGGCUGGGAAGAAGUCAGUGUGGACGAGGAUGCUCAGAGCCCCUUGAGGAACCUGCUGUGAUUCUGCCCGGGGUGUGUGAAAGUGGCCCACCUCCCUAAGGGGCCUCGUCAACCUGUGGACUGGUAAAGAAACAGAUUUGCGCAAAGUUUCAGAUGGAAGCUGGCACGGAGAAAGAAUGGCUUGCAUAAGACCGUCUUGUGAGGUGAGUUACGAACUGAAAACUCCCCGGUUAAGCAUUCAGGUUCUGGAGGUGAACCCUAACGCAACAGACCUGCACUAUCUCCCUAGCGACUGGUUGCAAACAGAGUUGCCAAGUGAGCUGGAAAAAAACUCGUCUGUUCUGUUCUUCUGCUUCCAUCAGCAGUUGGCUCCGCAGAGAUCAGCGGGCCAAAAGAUGUUCACAGCUUGCUGAUCUGUGUAUCAUCACAUGACAGCGUCUGCAGGAGGCAGAAAAAAGGGUGAGAAAAGAAGGCCAGACACAUACGCACACCCAGCAGUCUCUGGAUGGAGUCCACUCAUUCAAAGGCGCUUUUCUCCACAUGAACGGAUGAUCCGAUCUGACACGUCUCAGCUGGGGGCUCAGGACAUGUUUUUCACUACUGAAUUUUCACUGUAGUUAUAAACUGGGAAAUGGCUACUCUUAGCUGUAAAGGGUGAAUUUGCCAGAGGUCAUCUAGGCCACGUGUAGCGUAGUAGAAAAGAACAAGAGUCCAGUAGCACCUGUAAGACUAAUGAAAUUUUUGGAGCAAGAGUCCAGUAGCACCUGUAAGACUAACACAAUUUUUGAUGAGCUGUGACUCACAAAAGCUCAUACUCUACCACAAAUUUUGUGAGUCUUAUAGGUGCUACUGGGCUCAUGCUCUUUUCUACUGCUACAGACAAACACAGCUACCCAUCUUGAUCUAUCUCCAUGUGCGGUGUAGUGAUUUAACUUUCGGGCUACGGUUGAAUCACAACACCACACAGGUUAGGAUGUUGUUGGACUGGGAGCCCCGGGUUCAAAUCCCCACUUGGUUAUGAACCUUUUUAUGCCAGUCACACACACACACAUUUUUAGCUUAUCUUAUCUCAAGGAUAAAAUAAAGGAGGGGGAAACCUGAGAUUUGGAGAAGGGACCAAAAGGAAAAAAAUCCAAUUAGACACAUGUGUGCAUGUGGUGCCCUCAAGUCAGAGUUGACUUAUGGCGACCCCUGGUGGGGUUUUCAUGGCAAGAAACUAUCAGAGGUGUUGCCAUCACCUGCUUCUGCAACCCUGGUCUUUGUUGGAGGUCUCCCAUCCAAUUACUAACCAAGGCCAACCCUGCUUAGGUUCUGAGAUCUGACAAAUUCUGGCUCACCUGGGCUAUCCAGGUCAGGACAAUUAGAUAUGUACAAAUAAACAAUAUAUGGGAACGGAAACCAGAUAAAUAGAUUAUUUCUACAACGGUGCACAAGCCAGUCCCGCUAUU